rnacentral:rRNA from 1 species
UGGGGAAUCUUGGACAAUGGGCGCAAGCCUGAUCCAGCCAUGCCGCGUGAGUGAAGAAGGCCUUCGGGUUGUAAAGCUCUUUUGUCAGGGACGAUAAUGACGGUACCUGAAGAAUAAGCCCCGGCAAACUUCGUGCCAGCAGCCGCGGUAAUACGAAGGGGGCUAGCGUUGUUCGGAAUUACUGGGCGUAAAGGGCGCGUAGGCGGCAAUUCAAGUCAUCUGUGAAAUCUCCGGGCUUAACUCGGAACGGUCAGAUGAUACUGCUUUGCUAGAGUGCAGAAGGGGCAAUCGGAAUUCUUGGUGUAGCGGUGAAAUGCGUAGAUAUCAAGAGGAACACCUGAGGUGAAGACGGGUUGCUGGGCUGACACUGACGCUGAGGCGCGAAAGCCAGGGGAGCAAA